UGCAUGGUGGUACAGUUGGUAGCACUGUUGUUUUGAAGCAAGAAGGUCCUAGGUUCGACUCCCGGCCAAGGGUCUUUCUGCAU